rnacentral:tRNA from 1 species
GCGGGUAUCGUAUAGUGGCUAUUAUGGGUGCUUCCCAAGCACCAGAGGCGGGUUCAAUUCCCGCUACCCGCUCCA